CAAGAAAAAGCUCUUGGCUCUCAGUCGCUCAACGAAACACCAAGUUGUGCAGCUCUGGAUUGAGAGCUUGACGAGACAUGCGUAUUGGUGUCCGCGUACAAGAGGGGAUGAUGGGGACCUAUGUCUUGCAAAGUGGGUGUCAGCAGUUAACAACAUCGUUGACAUCCAUGAGCACGACAACCCGUUGUACCCGAUUUGCUACCACGGCGCACUUUCUGAACCACGACAAUGGCUCAGAGAAGACACAGAGACGUACAGGCGAGUCCAGGACAUCCUGUUGUCACCUGCACUCCUGAAGGAUAUCCCAUUCCUGUCCUCACAAGAACAGACAUAUGGAUUGGAGGCCUUUCACAGUGUCCUCAUCCACUUCCUGCCGAAGUCCUACGCAUUUUCUGACGAGGGGAUGGUGGCUAGGACACAGUUGGCGAUCAUCCACUUCAACGAGAAUGCAGACCGUGUCUAGUUGGAGAGGGAAGGCACGAAGAAGUACCGUCUCAAGGCAUUGAAGGUGAAGUAG